GCAAACAGAGUUUGCAGAGGGAUUUCUUGCAUAAUUUAUCUGCAAAUCAAGUGGCACCAAGGCGAUGCAGGAACUCUUGGAUGAAGCCUUUCUUCCACCUUGAAGGUUUGGCUUUGUCAGCCAGACCCCCCCUGGAGGGCUCAGGACUUUGCUCCCGUCUCCACAGCCAGCCUUCAUCCUCAGCCUCAUCCUCCAGCCCCAUCUGCAGCCUCCUUGGGCCGUGCCUCAGCAGCGGGGCCGGAGCAGCUGCGAGCACAGCAUGCAGGGCUGGGGCCAGCAGCAGAGCUUGCCAAGAGAUCCCAGGCAGGGCUGCUGGUGGGGAGCUGCCCUUUGCUUCGUGCCUCCCUUCCGGCUGCCUGGCGAGCUCAGCCAAACACCAUUAAAGGUUUAUCCACACGCUGAUUGACUUAUCUGCCUCCAGAGCUGGAGCCAGAGCGGUCUCCAAGGGGAGAGGUCCUGGAUGUGGCACCAUCUUCCAAAGCAACAGAGGAUGAGCAGGUGCUCCGAGAGAUCGGCCAGGACACUCUGGGAAGAAGUGGUGGUGCCUUCAAAGUGGAGAAUGGGUUGAUAAGGGGGGAGUGGGGAGAGACAUUUUAGCUCCUACUGGGUAAUUAUCAGUUGUGGAAAGCUGAGGAGUUAGCUGGUGGGAGGGAAAUUACAACCUAUCAUAAAACCAAUCUCUCCCAAAUCCAGUCUCUUCAGCGCUCAGGAGUGUUUGGUCUGGUUCCAAGGCUUCUGGAGGAGUUUGAGAGGUCCCUCGACAGAGCUGCAGCCCUCUGCAAGGCAGACACCACAUCCCCUUUGUUCGGAGGAGCGCGGAAAUGAGAACGCCUCAGCAGAGAAAGGCAGAUCAACGCCAAGCAUCUGGAAGCUGAAGACGGAGAAAACCCAAUUAAAAAUCAGGCAAUGCUGCGAGUGGAGCAAGCCAUGAAGUGAUGGAUUAUUCAUUCCACGAUGUCUUCAACUCAAGAGAGGGGCAGAACGAUCGAUCCUCCCAGCACUUCCACACUGCUGGUUGAUGAUGAACGCUCCAUCCAUCCCAACUUUUGGGAGCAUGCACAUUCCACUGCAAGAGCCAGGCCCCGACUUGGCAAACUGCAAAGUUCCCAUGGAUGAUGGAGGACAAUCCACCAGCCCUACUAGGGUGAAGCCACCCUGGGGCAAUGAGCCCCCAGUAAAGCAGAGCUAGAAAAAGAACAAAGUCAACCCAGGCCACCCCAGCUGAAGUAUGUGGGAAACACAAGCUGUAACUGCAGUGGAAGUUUCCCCUGGCCAAAAACAGGAACAGAAUUUGGGCUGAAGUGGGUGGAUUUGCAGAAAAACAAAACAAAACAA